UACGAGGGGGGGCAAGCGUUAUUCGAAAUGAUUGGGCGUAAAGGGCAUCUAGGCGGUUUAUUUUAGUUAUUUUCUUAAAUUUAAAAAAAGAAAAAAAAUAAACCAGAGCUUAACUGUGGUGAUUAAAUAAGUUAAAGUAAACUAAGAGUAAGUCAGAGGAAAAUGGAAUUUCUGGAAGGAGAUGGUAAAAUUUGUAGAGUUUAA
rnacentral:rRNA from 1 species